CUUGAACGCUGGCGGCAGGCCUAACACAUGCAAGUCGAGCGGAUGAAGGGAGCUUGCUCCUGGAUUCAGCGGCGGACGGGUGAGUAAUGCCUAGGAAUCUGCCUGGUAGUGGGGGAUAACGUCCGGAAACGGGCGCUAAUACCGCAUACGUCCUGCGGGGGAAAGUGGGGGGUCUUCGGACCUCACGCUAUCAGAUGAGCCUAGGUCGGAUUAGCUAGUUGGUGGGGUAAAGGCCUACCAAGGCGACGAUCCGUCACUGGUCUGAGAGGAUGAUCAGUCACACUGGAACUGAGACACGGUCCAGACUACUACGGGAGGCAGCAGUGGGGAAUCUUGGACAAUGGGCGAAAGCCUGAUCCAGCCAUGCCGCGUGUGUGAAGAAGGUCUUCGGAUUGUAAAGAACUUUAAGUUGGGAGGAAGGGCAGUAAGUUAAUACCUUGCUGUGUUGACGUUACCAACAGAAUAAGCACCGGCUAACUACGUG
rnacentral:rRNA from 1 species